rnacentral:lncRNA from 1 species
CCCUUGUUUGGAACAACUAUUAUGACUAAAAAUGUGUGUCUGUCCUGUUAAAAACUUGGUAUAAGUCCUCUAAAUACAUUUUAAACUAAAGCAAAGAUUUCACCACCUUAAUUUACCAUGCUAGGAAAAAUAUACUUUUUUUUACUAUUAAAGUAUUCUAAUAAAAAUUUUAUUUGCAAGCUUUACAAAUUAUGCUUCUUAUUUUUUCUAUUCAUGAGUUGAAAUAAAAGAGGGGAAAGGAGGGGAUCUUGUCACAAAUUCCUGAGAAAUUUUUUUUUCAAAUCCUGAUUCUUGUGGAAAAUAAUGUGUAUGUUCCAGCAUCAUGAUAUAUUUAAAUCCUGAACUCCUAAAUAAAAUAUAAUCCCCUGUCUAUAUGAUAUGAAAUUUAACACUUAUUUAGAUUUAAAAGGCUCAGAAUUGUGUGCUGGUUUGACAUUUGACUCAUGGAUGUAUUAUUGAAAAGAACUUUAAUAUCACUUGAACAAAAAUGUAUCAUCAAUUAGUUUAUGGGUUUUUUAUUAAUAUUCAUAAACCUGAAUAAUUUAUUUAUAAAGAGAAUUUCUUAUUAACUAUCUACUUUAUGUAUCUGCUGACAAUAUACAUAUAAAUAAUUG